UACGUAGGGGGCAAGGCGUUGUCCGGAUUUAUUGGGCGUAAAGAGCGUGUAGGCGGCCAGACAGGUCAGCUGUGAAAACUCGAGGCUCAACCUCGAGACGUCGGUUGAAACCGUCUGGCUAGAGUCCGGAAGAGGAGAGUGGAAUUCCCGGUGUAGCGGUGAAAUGCGCAGAUAUCAGGAGGAACACCAAUGGCGAAGGCAGCUCGCUGGGACGUGACUGACGCUGAGACGCGAAAGCGUGGGGAGCAAACAGG
rnacentral:rRNA from 1 species